AAACUCAAGCGGAACAUAGAUGCUUUACUUACCAGCUCGUCCACUCUUCACUAUUUAAUAAAUGCGGAAGUUCGGAACAUGAGGACGCUGGACUUUUACCUCAGCGCUUAUAACUGAAAUGUUCUUUGUUCUCCAUCAAGAAACAUCAGCAGCGUCUCAACAUGGCGAAUAACAGCACAGGCUAAUGGCGAGCUAGCGUAUCUCCCUCUCUCACCUGCCGUUCAAGUCUGAAGAAUAGUAUGCAGCAGCCUUUGAAGAAAUCCCAGAAAGAGUUUACAUAAUGGAAACGCGGGGGAUUGAGCAGAUGUUCGACUUCCAGCGGUUACCAAAUGAUCGCUUCAUGCUGCUGCUGUUGUUGCUGUACUCCCCUGUUGGCGUGUGUUUGAUGCUACUGCGAAUAUUUAUUGGUGUCCAUGUGUUUCUAGUGAGUUGUGCACUACCUGACAGUAUUGUCA